rnacentral:piRNA from 1 species
UGAUGAAGGUUUGAUGUUCAUGGUUCUGU